AUUGAACGCUGGCGGCAGGCCUAACACAUGCAAGUCGAGCGAGCGGCGGACGGGUGAGUAAUGUAUGGGGACUGCCCGAUAGAGGGGGAUAACUACUGGAAACGGUGGCUAAUACCGCAUACUAUCGGAUGACCCAUAUGGGAUUAGCUAGUGGGUGGGGUAAAGGCUCACCUAGGCGACGAUCUCUAGCUGGUCUGAGAGGAUGACCGGCCACACUGGGACUGAGACACGGCCCAGACUCCUACGGAGGCAGCAGUGGGGAAUAUUGCACAAUGGGCGCAAGCCUGAGGCAGCCAUGCAGCGUGUAUGAAGAAGGCUUUAGGGUUGUAAAGUACUUUCAGCGGGGAGGCGUUACCCGAAGAAGAAGCACCGGCUAACUCCGUGCCAGCAGCCGCGGUAAUUC
rnacentral:rRNA from 1 species